GUGUUGUCAACUACGGACCUGCAGUUUUUAGUUUAACGUGUUUUGUAUUUUUAGUUAUUUUUGUAAUUACGCAUUUAAUAUUUCAGAUAUUAGUAUUUUAUUUUAAAUAGAACUCUAAAAGAGAAGAGAGAGAGAGAGUAUUUAAGGGAUGAAUCUAUUGUGAAAAGGGGAGAAGGGAGAAAAAAAAGAAACCCUAGAUCUAAACUUUUCUCUUCUCUCUAUGAAGAACUAAACUUAUUUUUCUGGUUAAAGGUUAAUGAAGCUUUGAUUCAUCACUAUUGUGAGAUCUUUCUUAUGCUUUAAUUGUUUUAUUGCUUUUUGGGUAUUUGUUUAUUCUCUGAAUUAUUUUCAUGAUUAUGUUUGUUAAUUAGAUAACUGGCUACUAUUUAAUUAUCAACUUAAUCUAUUGUCAAUUAAAGGAUUCAUCGUAUGAAGAUUUUAAUGUUUGUGACAAAUAACAUAGUAGUGAGUUGUGUUAUGAGAAGAAACAAUCCAAUUUAAAUGAAUCAUCGUAUGUGUUGAUUAGGAUUUGGGUCUCUCUGGUCUUUCAGGCUGUCAAUUGAUUAAAUCCUAUGAUCGUAUCUAGGGUUGUCUAUUGAUUAGGAAAAUAACCAACAGUCGUACCUUGGUUAUCAACUAGUUAAGGAGAGAUUGGCUAUUAGAGGGUCUCAGUAGCUAUAACCGGUUUAUUCAUAAGUAAUAAUAAUCUAUAUUUGAAUCAAUGAUCAGUAGUCGAAUCAAGCUGAGUUAAUUCCUUCAACCAGAACUUUCUCUAAUUUGAAUUACAACUUUAAUUUGCAUUCUUGUUAUUUUAAUUUGAUUUUUAUUAUUGUCAACAAUUCCCCCAUUUUACGUUUUACGUUUCAAAAGGAUUUAAAUAAUUACCGAUCUCUGUGGACACGACCCUGCUCAAUCACUAUACACAAUUUAUUUAGAAUAGGUAUUUAUUUUUGGUGGCUUCGACAACCAUCAAAUUUUGGCGCCGUUGCCGGGGAUUGGUGUCAUUUAUUUAAUCAUUUUUACGUUUUACUUGGUGUAUGGUUCGUUCUUCUCGUAUAGGUACACUUUCGUUAGAUCUGAAAUUGAGAAGACAACUCGCCAGCUGAGACAGCAGACGAAGCGAGCUAAGCAACGAUCUUUGUCGCCUUUGCUUUCUGAAACAGAUACAGUGCCUGAUUUGGUUGAAUCAUCUAGCGAUUCAUAAGAACAAGUGAUGGAUAGAGCUGCACCUGUAGAAAGAACUCUUAGAGAGUUAGCUGAACUAGACUUGAAUCAGCAACCACUCUGCAUUCAUUAUGUAGACUUUGAGGUAAAUUUUGAAUUAAAGUCUGGUCUUAUUCAUUUAUUACCCAAGUUUCAUGGUCUUGCAGGUGAAGAUCCUCAUAAACAUAUCAAGGAGUUUCAUAUUGUGUGUUCAAGUAUGAGGCCACAAGGCGUAACUGAAGAGCAGAUUAAGCUGCGUGCUUUUCUGUUCUCUGUAGAUGGGCUAGCUAAAGACUGGUUGUACUACUUGCCUCCUGGAUCGAUUACAACAUGGAAUGGUUUGAAGAAGCAGUUCCUUGAGAAGUACUUUCCUGCUUCAAGAGCUGCCAACAUCAGAAAGAUAUUUGUGGGAUCAGACAACUUCCUGGGGAGACUUUGUAUGAGUAUUGGGAGCGAUUCAAACAAUUGUGUGCCAGCUGUCCUCAGCAUCAGAUUUCUGAUCAACUUCUUAUUCAAUAUUUUUACGAAGGACUGUCAUUGAUGGAUAGGAGUAUGAUAGAUGCUGCUAGUGGAGGCGUGUUGGUGAACAAGACCCCUACUCAAGCAAGAGAGUUGAUCUCAAAUAUAGCUGCCAAUGCACAACAAUUUGGCAGCAAGCAAGAUCCCACUUCAAGGAAGGUGAAUGAGGUAAAUAUUUCUUCUGUUGAACAACGUUUAGAUAAACUUACUUCUCUUGUGGAAAAGUUUGUUGUAGGUAAUGUCCAACAGGUGAAGACUUUUGGCAUUUGUUACAAUAUGAGUCAUUCAACUGAUAUGUGUCCUACACUUCAAGAAGAACCUGUUGAACAAGCCAAUGCAGUUGGAGGAUUUCUAGGCAUGCCUCAGAGGAGGUAUGAUCCUUAUGCACAAACAUACAAUCCGGGAUGGAAGGAUCAUCCCAACUUCAGCUAUGGAGUUAGGCCGUCAGGAUUCCCACAACAGUAUCCACCAGGACAACUAGCACCUCCACAAUCAAACUCUAAGUCAGGUAUAUCUCUUGAAGAAAUUGUUAAAUCACUUGCGACUAACACUCAACAAUUUCAGCAGGCAACUACAGCAAGCAUUCAGAAUUUGGAGAACCAAAUGAGUCAAUUGGCGACUACAGUGAGCCGUCUGGAGUCUCAAGUAUUAGAGAGACUGCCUUCACAAUCUGAGGUGAAUCCAAAGCAAAACGUCAGUGUUGUCAUCCUUAGAAGUGAGAAGGAGUUACAAGAGCCUAGUAAGAAAGUGACAAAGCAUGUAGAAGAUGAGCUUGAGAAGAAUGAAUUGAUGCCUAAAUCUUAAGAUGCGCAACCCACCAGGGCGAAACCCCUACCUAUUGUGAUACCUCCUCAUUUUCCAAGCCGGUUUGCAAAAUCCAAGAAGGAAGAACAAGAGAAAGACAUCCUUGAGACAUUUCGUAAGGUUGAGGUAAAUAUUCCUUUAUUAGAUGCUAUAAAACAAAUACCUCGAUAUGCUAAAGUCCUUAAGGAACUUUGCACCUCUAAGAGAAAAUUAAAAGGAGAUAAAAAAGUUCACAUGGGGGAGAAUGUUUCAGCAGUUCUCCAAAAACAAUUACCUCCUAAGUGCAAGGAUCCAGGUAUGUUUACUAUCCCUUGUAAAAUUGGUAGUGUUAGAAUUGAAAAGGCUUUGUUAGAUCUAGGAGCUUCUAUUAAUGUCAUGCCUCGUUCUAUUUAUUCAUCUUUGAAUAUUGGUCCAUUAAAAGAAACUGGCGUGAUAAUUCAACUAGCUGAUAGGUCUAAUGCAUAUCCUGAUGAGGUAUUACAAGAUGUCUUAGUACAAGUUAAUGAGUUGGUUUUUCUUUCUGAUUUUUAUGUACUUGAUAUGGAAGAGGAUAACUCCUCUAAUUCUGUCCUAAUUUUGCUAGGAAGACCUUUUCUUAAGACUGCUAAGACUAAAAUGGAUGUACAUAAAGGGACUCUCACUAUGGAGUUUGAUGGAGAGGUUAUAGAAUUCAAUAUGAAUGAUGCCAUGAAAUAUCCUAGUGAGGAACAUUCGGUAUUUUCUGUGGAUGUUAUUAACCCUAUAGCGCAUGAAGUUUUUUAUAAGAAAAAGACGAAGACAUUUCAUGAUAGAAUGAUUUUGAGAAAGGAGUUCUUUGUUGGUCAAAAAGUUCUUCUUUUUCAUUCUAAGCUUAAACUUUUUUCGGGUAAAUUACGUUCUUGCUGGGUUGGACCUUUUGUUGUUACUAAUGUUUUUCCUCAUGGUGCAGUUGAGAUUCGGAGUCCGACAUCUGACAAAGUUUUUAAAGUUAAUGGUCAUCGCUUAAAACUUUUUAUAAAGGUUUUUCAGUGAAUAUUGUGAAGGAUGUGGCUCUCGAGAGUCCUAUUUAUAGAGAUUGAUACAUAAAUGUGUCUAGCCAAAGACAUAAAACAAAAGCGCUUUUUAGGAGGCAACCCAAAUGAUUUAUUUAUUUUGGUUUUUGUUAUAUCUUCUUUUAAUUUUGAUUCAUAUUUUUUUUAAAUAAUAUGUUUGCUUAUUUUGGUCAGAAGAAAUUUUUUGAUAAGGCGUGCCCACGUCUUAACUAAUAAGUACUUCUUUAAUUUUUAAAAUAAAAUAGUUUUAAGGUGUGCCCACGUGCUUAUUAGAAAAGUGCUUCUAAAAGUUUUAGUGCCUCAAAGUGAUUCAUCACUAAAAAAAAAAUUAUUUAUUUAUUUAUUUAUGUUUUUUUAUUUUCCUUCUUUUCUUUCUUUAUAUAUAUAUAUAUUUUUUAUUUAUUUAUUUAAAAAAUGAAAAAAAAAACAAAAAUCACAAACCACUGUUCACAAAUCCCUAAUUUAAAAAAAUUUACUGCUGAUUAUCGUUUUCCCGCAGCAACCCUCAGCUCCAGCGAGCAGAACUAGCAGCAGCCGCAUCAGUCCCACCUGCAACGCAGCCAGCCCACGCGCAGCAAGCUCCAGCCAUCACCAUCACGCAGCGCAUCAGUCUCGCGCGCGCAGCGCAACGCAACCAGUGCAACCAGCAGCGAAGAACCAGCCCCAAAGCGCAGCAUCGCGCAGCAAGCUCCAACGUGCAGAUCCACCAUCCCCAGCCCGCGCGCGCAGUGCAAAUCAACCCAGCAGCGCACAACCAACGUCACCAGCGCGCACAACCAGCCCCAACCCACGCAAUAAGCUCUAGCCAAGCAGCAAGUGUAACACAACCAGCCUACGCCUUGUAUUCCAGCCGGGUGAAUCGAAAUCCAUGAGUGAAAUUAUUGUAACAAUGCCGAAGAGGAAAGCAUCAACUUCCAAGUCAUCUAAAAAGACACAUGUCGCAAAGAAAUCCAAGAUUGCCGCUCCCACUACGGUUCCAUGGAACACAGUUUUAGAUUCACGCCAAGCUAUGAGACAAAUAUCGAAACAUGGAAAAGGCAUGAGUGUUUUGCCACUUGCGGAAUCCAAUCUCAGAGGGUGCCUCGCAUUCACGACUCAACAAGAGAAAGAAAGUUUACUGAACCAUGACCCACUUAACCUCCAAAGAAGCUCUAUGCUAGAAGUGGUGCUACCUCUGAUGACGAACUUGACGACGACACUGCUGCCUCGCCAACUAUUCCUUAUACAUCCGCACCACCUUUGAGCAUUCAGUUAGAGAAAAUGGAGCACAAGAUGGAGCAGAAUUCGGCCGCAUACUUCGAGAGUAUGGGAUUUAUCCCACCACUUCCGCCAAGCCCAUAGAUGUUAUGAGGAUCAAAGCUCACAAUUCAGGGAAGUUUUUGCCUUUAAUCUUUUAUCCUUAUGCUUUAAUUUUUAUGUGAGCUUUGAUUAUCUUACAUUGAGGACAAUGUAAGUUCUUGGUGUGGGGGAGGAAUUUUUGCAUUAUUGAUUUCUGAAAAUAUUAUUUUCACUCAACUCAUUCUUAAAUGAUUUUGGAGUUAGUAUGCUUCAUAUAUUAUUAUUUUUCUUUUCUUUUCUUUCUCACUACUUUUUUCCCAUCUAUCUCAAAUUAUUCAUAUCUAUUUUUAUUUUACCAUAUUCUUUCAUCACUCACAUUUUAUCUUUCAUUUUUUUAUUUCUACAUACAUCUUUCUCGCUUAUAAUCCUUUUUACCUUUCCUUUUAUAUAUCACUCAUACCUUCUUCUCAUUCUACACCACUAUUGAUGGUUGAUUCAUUUGAAGAGUGUACAUGAUUUCAUGGCAAAUUUACCAACUUUGUGAGGAUUUGAACUUAUGAGCAACCACUUUGCUCUAAUUAUUUUUGUUAUGUGAAUAUCAAUCUUAGUUUGUUUAUUCUAGAACUUACUUUGUUAUGCAUGUUGAAGCCACAUUACGGGAUUUUAUGCAUUAAAAUGAUAAAGGCAAAACCACUUUCCAUUUUUCUAUUCUCACAUUUUUUUUUCUUUACCCAAAGACCUUUACUUGCUAUCUUUGUUUGAGCCUUAACCAUUACCCAUCUAAUUCUCUCCGUCUACUUAACCAUUUUUCUUCUUUUUGAGCCUCAAUUUAAGGAGAUUUUUGGACUCAUUGUGUGGAUAUAUUUUGUAUAUAUUUUGUUGCUUUUUCUACCUUGUAUUAAAGUUUCUCAAUUAGAUCAACAAGCAUUAUGCUUGAAUUAAAUUGUGCAAGGUUUGUUUCUUUUGUUUGAUUCAAAAAAAAAAAGAAAAAGAAAAGGAAAAAGAAAAAAAAAGAAAAAGAAAAAUCGAAAAAAAAGAAAAAAUGUUUACAUUCUUGGUGACUUGAGUAGAAAUAAGCGUUUCGAUAUCAUAAGGUUCAUUUAAUGAGUUCAUUCUUCUCAUUUUGAUCUCUUUUUCUUUCACAAACCUUUCUUUUUCAUUUAACCCAUUUAACCCCGUUACAACCUUUUUAAGACCCUUAGAUUUUUGCAUUUAAUUCAUGUUUUGUGGAUUGAGAUGUGAUAUAUAAGCAAGCUUAUGGUAAUAGCAUUCUUUGAUUUGAUUUGAGUGCAUAAAUGACACCCUAAACACUUUGAGUGCAUGGAGUGAAGUCAAUGAGAGGGCCAUUAAUUCUUUUUGCACUUGAAUUUUGAAUGGAUCUUCUUGGUGGUUGAAUGUUUUUAUUCUAGCUUAUGAGAUUCUAUGCUUUAAAAUCCUUGUCUCUCGACUGUUGAUCAACUUAAAUUCUUGAGGUAUGCUUGCUUAAGAUUGUUUUUGGAUGAGUUGAGAUGAAAAUUGAGUGGAGAUUUGGGAUUAGGCUUGAGUUAUAUGCUUGAGGACAAGCAUCAUCUUGGUGUGGGGGAAUUUGUUAGAGUGCAAUUUAUGGACUAGUUUUGCAUUGUUUACUUCCCUUAAUAUCGAUGUUUUGCACUUAAUAAUAAUGAUUUACUUGUGUUUUACUUUUGUAGGUGCAAUUCUAUUGAUUUGUGAUAAAAUUGAGCUAUAAGAUGAUGUUUAAAGAUGAUUGUUCUCUUGGAGAAAUUUAGAGCGUCAGAAGAACUUUAUUGAUAAGGCGUGGGCGCGUGCUGUCAACUGUGGACCUGCAAUUUUUUUUUUUUUGAAAAGAAACUUCUAUUAAAUCAAUAAAGAAAAAAGGUAAAUCACUUGUGAAGGGUAUGAACCCUUCCACACAACAGUCUCGCACUUCUCUAAAGCUAACUUAGCUAAAGAGUGGGCAAUAACAUUACAAGAUCUAGGCGUAUACUUAAUACUAACACGUUCGAAGUUUUCCGCUAACUUCUGAAUUUCUGAAACAACCCAAUAGAUCUCGGAUCUGCUGCCCUGCUUGUUGUUAACUAAAUUGACCACACCUUGAGAAUCUGAUUCCACGAUGACAGCUUUCACUUGUGCAUCUCUCGCCACAAGAAAAAAGGUAAAUACUUAAUACCCCAUUCUAUAGCUUCUGCUUCCGCAUAAGAAACAUCUUCGUGAAACUUAGAAACCUUGAUAGCAGCUGCUGUAACAUGCCUUAAAACAUCUUUGAUUACUGCCCCCAGCCCUACAAUGUUCUUUUCGAAGCUGAUAGCUGCAUCAAUGUUUACUUUGACAAAGCCAUCUUGAGGGGGAUUCCAUGUCUGGGGAGGUACCCUCUGCUCUGUUUCGCUGCAGGCCUCAGCUGGAGAAUGCACCUUCUUAUAAGCUGCAAUCAUAGCUUCAGCUUUAGCUACCAUGAUCUGGGGGGUCUCCCUUUUUCCUUUGAAAAUCAACUGAUUUCUAGCAUUCCAUUUUACCCAGAAAAUUGUUACCAACAGCUCCAGGUCAUCUCUCAUUCUCAUUCUUUUCAUAGCAUGCAACAAGCUUAAAAUAUCUUGACUGUGAGCUACAUGAAUGUCAUCAUCAAAAUGGAUUAGCUUCCAUACCUUCUCAGCCGAUUUGCAGGCCACUAAAGCAUGAAAGACAUUUUCCAUUCCCAUUUUACAGACUUGGCAAGUGGGUUCCUAGAUUAUUUUUUUCUUCCACAGAUUCUCAGCUGAGGGGAGUUGGUUUUUGGCUGCUCUCCAGGCAAAAAUUCUAAUCUUUUGAGGCAAAGCAAGGGACCAAAUAAUAUUCCACUCAUUUUUGGAAACCACUGAGCUUGAAGGCAUGGCUGGAAAUUUUAUUUGGAGGGUUGUCUGGUAUCCACUUCUAACCGAGAAUUGGCCAUUUUUUCCAUAAUGCCAAAUCAGCUCAUCCUCUCUUGGUCUUCGAGGCAGAGGAAUCUUAGUAAUUAAAUCAGCAUCUAUUUUGUCAAAAUGCUCAUAAAUCCUCUUCUCAUCCCAAUAGUUUGCCUCAUUGAUUAAAUCCGAGACCAUAGCAUCAGGAAGCAGAGAUGGCUUAACCACUGGCUGGAAAGUUGAAGGUUGUGGGAUCCAAUUAGCCUUAUGAACAUGAAUUUUCUGACCAUUGCCCACUCUCCACCUAGAGCCCGAGCAAAUAAUUUUCCUUCCCCACAGAAGGCUUCUCCAAAUAUAUGAAGGGUUUGAGCCGAGUUUAGCAUCCAAGAAAUUUUUUGACUGGAAAUAUUUGGCUUGCAGGACCCUUGCCACCAGUGAAUCUGGACAUUGCCGAAUCCUCCAGCCUUGCUUAGCUAGAAGGGCUCGGUUAAAGCUUGAAAAGUCAUGAAAUCCCAUCCCUCCCAAACACUUAGCUUGGCUCAUAUUUUCCCACUUCGCCCAGUGAAUAUUCCUCUCUUCCCUCUUGGAGCCCCACCAAAACUUUGCCACCAUUUUUUUAAUAUCAUCACAAACACCCAUUGGAAUUUUAAAAACGCUCAUUGCGUAGGCUGGGAUGGCUUGAACAACCGCUUUGAUUAAGACUUCUUUCCCUUCGCAAGAAAAAAAUUUAUGCUGCCAGCUUGAGAUCUUAUUGGAAACCGUCAGUUUGAUGUCAUUGAAAAAGCUACUUUUCUUUCUCCCGAUCAUAGACGGCAAGCCUAAAUAUUUUUCAUGUCUCGACACAAUAUUGAGUUGAAAGAGAUUCCCAAUUGCCUCAGCUUGAUCUUGUUGUACGUUGCCACUGAGAAACAGAGAAGAUUUCUUGAAGUUAAAAAUCUGACCGGAAGCUGUGGAGCAGCUCUCAAGGAUCCUCUUCAAAUUUUGACAGUCGGUCAUGGAAGCUCUACUGAAGACAAGGCUGUCAUCAGCAAAUAAAAGGUGCAAAAUCUUAAAAUUAUUUCCAAAAGAGAGCCCAUGAAUAAGUCAUUGUUGCUCAGCCUGCUGCAGCAAAGAUGAAAAAGCCUCUGCACAUGUAAUAAACAAAUAUGGAGAGAGGGGGCAACCUUGUCUUAAUUCCCUUUGAGGUUUAAUUAAGCCAUUCACUGAACCAUUUAUUAACACUGAAAAUGUAACCGAACUAACGCACCCCAUAACCAAGGUAAUCCAUUGAUGCGAGAAGCCUAGUUUUUUCAAAGUUUGCUAUAAAAAAUUCCAUUCCAAUCUGUCAUAAGCUUUACUAACAUCUAGCUUUAAAGCAAUUAAUCCAUUUCGCUUGCCUUUACAAUGCCUUAUCUUGUGCAAACAUUCAUAUCCAACUAUUAUAUUGUCAGUGAUCAACCUAUUGGGGAUGAAGGCACUUUGCGACAGAGAGAUGAUUUUGUGCAAAAUUAGUUUAAAUCUAUUCACAACUGUUUUAGCCACAAUUCUAUAGAUAACAUUGCACAAACUAAUAGGCCUAAAAUCUGUCACUUUCCUAGGCUUUUCGAUUUUUGGUAUCAAAGCAAUGUAAAUGUGGUUUAGGGGGCCUAUAGUACCUUGUGAAUUGAGGAUAUGCAGACAAGUGGUGAGCACUCCCUCCUUAACCGAAUGCCAAUGCUUUUGGUAAAACACUGCUGGCAAACCAUCCAGCCCCGGAGCCUUCCUUGGGCACAUUUGACUCAGAGCUUCCAAGACUUCCUCGGCUGUAAACGGUUCCCCCAAACUCUCAUUCAUGCUGGCUGAAACUCUCAGAGUUAUUCCUUCCAAGGCUGCUGCAAUUUGAUCUUGGCUCGGCUGGGUUGAUGUAAAAAGAUUGGUGAAAUAGUUGCAAAACUCAUGCUCAACUUCAUUUGGCUUCUCAAUCCAUCUCCCGAAAUUAUCUUCAAUCCCCCAAAUUCUUUUUUUUUUCUUCUUGCCGUCGCUUUGCCGUGAAAGAAUUUUGUGUUUUUGUCCCCCUCCUUGAGCCAAUCUACUCUCGAGCAUUGCUUCCAGUAGAUUUCUUCAUCUAUGAGAAUAUUUUGGAUUUGCUUUUCCACCUUCCGAAUUUCCUCACCAUUUACAUAUUGCACCCUUCUUUGUUUUAACUACCGCAGCUGAUUCUUUAGCUUCUCCAAUUUUCUGUCACGUUUUCUAAAUUCCAGCUUGCUCCACCCCAACAGCCUACCCAUCGAAGCUUUUGUUGCUUGUCGAAAAGAUUGGGCUGUAUCUUCACUGCUCCAAUUUCUAUGCAAACUCCAUUCCUCCUUAAUUAUCUCUUUACAUACAUCAUACGAGCUCCACAUAUCCUCAUAAUGGAUUCGCGAAGAAUGUCUACCCCUUUGGUUCAUGCCCUCCCUUUUCUCUUGAAUAGCCAUCAACACGGGACAAUGAUCCGAAGUCCAGGUGUCCAGGUUGCUUGCUUCACAGUCCACAAAUCUGUCACUCCAAGCUUUAGAGCAAACAAAUCUGUCCAACCUUUCUUCCAUGAAUCCCUUCCCAUAUCUUCCAUUAUUCCAAGUAAAAUCAUAACCCCGAUACCCAACAUCCUUUAAGCCACAAUCUCUCAAAGCUUCUUUGAACUCAUUAAUUAAAUUCACGUUCCUGUCAUUGCCGCCCCUCUUCUCAUCUGGAUGUAAAAUUUCAUUAAAGUCUCCACAACACAACCAAGGGCUAGAAGAUAAAACCGCCAGCCGCCUAAGGAGCAUCCAAGUGUGUUUUUUAUGACUUAUUUCCGGAUGGCGGACCUGCAGUUUUUAGUUUAACGUGUUUUGUAUUUUUAGUUAUUUUUGUAAUUACGAAUUUAAUAUUUCAGAUAUUAGUAUUUUAUUUUAAAUAGAACUCUAAAAGAGAAGAAAGAGAGAGUAUUUAAGGGAGGAAUCUAUUGUGAAAAGGGGGAGAAGGGAGAAAAAAAAAGAAACCCUAGAUCUAAACUUUUCUCUUCUCUCUAUGAAGAACUAAACCUAUUUUUCUGGUUGAAGGUUAAUGAAGCUUUGAUUCAUCACUACUGUGAGAUCUUUCUUAUGCUUUAAUUGUUUUAUUGCUUUUUGGGUAUUUGUUUAUUCUCUGAAUUAUUUUCAUGAUUAUGUUUGUUAAUUAGAUAACUGGCCACUAUUUAAUUAUCAACUUAAUCUAUUGUCAAUUAAAGGAUUCAUCGUAUGAAGAUUUUAAUGUUUGUGACAAAUAACAUAGCAGUGAGUUGUGUUAUGAGAAUAAACAAUCUAAUUUAAAUGAAUCAUCGUAUGUAUUGAUUAUGAUUUGGGUCUCUCUGGUCUUUCAGGCUGUCAAUUGAUUAAAUUCUAUGAUCGUAUCUAGGGUUGUCUAUUGAUUAGGGAAAUAACCAACGGUCGUACCUUGGUUAUCGACUAGUUAAGGAGAGAUUAGCUAUUAGAGAGUCUCAGUAGCUAUAACCGGUCUAUUCAUAAGUAAUAAUAAUCUAUAUUUGAAUCAAUGAUCAGUAGUCGAAUCAAGCUGAGUUAAUUCCUUCAACCAGAGCUUUCUCUAAUUUGAAUUACAACUUUAAUUUGCAUUCUUGUUAUUUUAAUUUGAUUUUUAUUAUUGUCAACAAUUCCCCCAUUUUACGUUUUACGUUUCAAAAGGAUUUAAACAAUUACCGAUCUCUGUGGACACGACCCUACUCAAUCACUAUACACAAUUUAUUUAGAGUAGGUAUUUAUUUUUGGUGGCUUCGACAACCAUCAAUAUAAUAUGGUGUUAAUUUAACUACAUUAACUUUUUUUUGUAUUUGCAGAUUUCUGCAGACUUACAGAAGAAAAUUCAUAACUAAUCCACCGACUG
rnacentral:lncRNA from 1 species